AUUCAGCUGACGGGUCCCAAAUAGAACGAGACGUGCGUCCUGAAU
rnacentral:hammerhead_ribozyme from 1 species